ensembl:antisense C330018A13Rik RIKEN cDNA C330018A13 gene
GUCCUAGACAGACCUCAUUCUAGACUCUGCUCUGCCACAGAUCCUCGGUCUCUGUCUCCGUAUGCUUAAUUACAAAAAAAAAAAAAAAGGGGGAUUGUAAAUAAUGCUCCCUUUUCCCUCAGAGACAUGCAGUGAACAUCAGGGAGACCAGACUUCAAGCACCACCCACAGUUGGACAAGGUGGACCAAAGGGCUCUGUUCUGAUCCAAAGCUGGAUGAAGACAAGUGUUUCUAAAGUUAAAUGAAGUGGGCUGAGUUUGGAGCUAUGGAAUCUGGGGCUAUGAACUUUGGAGCUAUGGAGCGUGGGGGCUAUGGAGGCGUGGACUGUGUUCAUCCAGCAUAUUCCUCUGACCUUCUUCUGGCUUAUGUCUGCUUCUUCCAUCACCUGAACCACUCUUUUGCUGGGGGACACUUCUGUAACCAGCUUUGUGAAGACGACAUUUUCCAAGAACUCAAUGGAUACGAAGACACGGGUUUUUACAGUAUUGGAAAACCAAACAUGUCUCACUGGGGAAAAAAAUGUGUUGAUCAGAAUGGUUUCUGUUGUGGCUCAAAGGCAUGUGUCUGAGCCUCGUUGGAGGGAUGCAGAACUCGCCAUCUAAAAAAACCUCAGUUAUUCCACAUCGACCUGUACCUCAGACCAGACUGGUUGUUUGGGGGAAAGGGCCCCACUCCAGUUUCUGACUUCGAUCUUAAGCUGAUUUUAAGCUCAUCUUGUUGCCAUUCACCCAGGGAAAUUUAAGGAGGCCAAGAAAACCCAGCUAGAUACAUCUUUUUCUAGUUUGCUGCUUAAUCUCUUAAUAUUCCAUCAGUGUAUAUUCAUUAUAUAAAGAGAUGGGUUUAUAAUGGCUCAAGAGGAGAAUGCUCACUGACCAUGCCUCUCGCCAAUUACUCCUCCUGUCCCCACCCCAAUUAGUCCCCUAAAAUUUUCAUGUCAUGUGUGUGUGUGUGUGUGUGUUAUGUACAAUCUAGGCCCUACCUAGAGAAAUUCUAGUAGUCUGGCCUUCAACACUUACUAUAACCAUACUGAGUGACGUGCACAUCUCUGUAAAUGGCAUGAGUAGCUUUUCUAAAGCCAUUUGUCCUUAAAGUCUUCGUUCUGGCUCAGCAGCUCUUUUAAGACUUACUUAUUUUUAUCUUGUGCGGGUGAGCAGAUCUGACUUUGCCUCCCAGGAGAAGGCUUACGACACACAGGCCUAGUGUUUUGCCUGGGCCCUUGCCGUUAGGUGGUCUGUGAUGCUCUCUCCUCGGCAGGAGCACGCUAAGCGGCAGUCCCCAUCCUGGGAGUAGCUUUCCCCUCUGUACUACUUGGAGACAAACACCUCUUCCGUGCACCUCAAUUACUGAAUCCACUGCCCUCAAAUUAGUUCUGUCUAGUCUGUCAGAGGUGUCUCUGAGGGUGUAUCAGUGAAUUGAGUAGAGUCCGUACAUCUGAACUGGCCCACGGGGCCUCCUCCUCCACCCCUCUUGACCUUACCCUGUGCACAGCCCCCCUUCCCUGGUCAUCUUGUAAAAGGCCAGUCCAUCCUUAAGCCUGUCUACUCUUAGAGACUCACGUGUGACUUGCUUCUUUCUUGGGAGGUACCGAAGCCCCUAUUAAAAUGCACCUAUU